CCUACGGGCGGCAGCAGUAGGGAAUCUUCCACAAUGGGCGAAAGCCUGAUGGAGCAACGCCGCGUGGGUGAAGAAGGUCUUCGGAUCGUAAAACCCUGUUGUUAGAGAAGAAAGUGCGUGAGAGUAACUGUUCACGUUUCGACGGUAUCUAACCAGAAAGCCACGGCUAACUACGUGCCAGCAGCCGCGGUAAUACGUAGGUGGCAAGCGUUAUCCGGAUUUAUUGGGCGUAAGGGGAACGCAGGCGGUCUUUUAAGUCUGAUGUGAAAGUCUUCGGCUUAACCGGAGUAGUGCAUUGGAAACUGGGAGACUUGAGUGCAGAAGAGGAGAGUGGAACGCCAUGUGUAGCGGUGAAAUGCGUAGAUAUAUGGAAGAACACCAGUGGCGAAGGCGGCUCGCUGGUCUAUAACUGACGCUGAGGUUCGAAAGCGUGGGUAGCAAACAGGAUUAGAUACCCUUGUAGUC
rnacentral:rRNA from 1 species